rnacentral:misc_RNA from 1 species
ACGUAUAGUAAUAAGUGGAGAGAGUGGUUACAUGUUACACGUGCGUGAACUUGUGUACGGAAGAGUAUAAGUGAAAAGUGACCGGGUUACGAUACUCGAUAUCGAACGUAAUUACGCGCUCGAUCGAUUUGAAAAAUUGUUGACGUUCGAUGCAGCUCAGACCGACACAAUGUGCCCGCAGAACGUACAUGCGUCAUUUUUCUAAACGAAUUACACAUGAUUCAUAUCCUCGUUACAAUACAACCGCAUAAUGUUGCACUGAUUCAUAGAUGCUUGUAUGGCUUAUUAGAAAAACAGUUGCUAGCAUACAUGAACAUUCGUAAGAAGGAAAAGAUUGAAUAUUAUUAAAUAUUAACUCAAAAUAAUAUAUUUAAUAUAGGAAUGAGAAUCAUGGCA